rnacentral:rRNA from 1 species
GGGUUCGAUUCCGGAGAGGGAGCCCGAGAAACGGCUACCACUUCCAAGGAAGGCAGCAGGCGCGCAACUUACCCUAAUCUCGAUUCGAGGAGGUAGUGACAAGAAAUACCGAUGCGGGACCCUACGGGUGCCGCGUUCGGAAUGAGUACGAUUCGAACCACCUAACGAGGAACGAUCGGAGGGCAAGUCUGGUGCCAGCAGC